GACGAACGCUGGCGGCGUGCUUAACACAUGCAAGUCGAACGAAGUGGCGAACGGGUGAGUAAGACGUGGGUAUCCUGCCCUCCUUUUUGGGAUAGGCCUUUGAACCGGGGUCUAAUACCGAAUAAAGGGGGAUGGGCUCGCGGCCUCUGAGCUUGUUGGGGGGGCGAUUGUCUACCAAGGCGUUGACGGGUAGCCGGCGUGAGAGGGUGACCGGCAACAUUGGGAGUGAGAGACGGAACAGAAUACUAGGGGAGGCAGAAGGGGAGGAUAUUGAACAAUGGGCGAAAGGCUGAUGCAGCGUAGCGGCGUGGGGGAUGAAGGAAUAGGGGUUGUAAACCUCUUUCGCUAUCGAAAGGGUAGGUGAAGAAGAAGCGCCGGCUAACUACGUGCCAGCAGCCGCGGUAAUAC
rnacentral:rRNA from 1 species